rnacentral:rRNA from 1 species
UACGACUACAUAUCAGGCAUACAAUAAGCGGAGGAAAAGAAACUAACAAGGAUUCCCUUAGUAACGGCGAGUGAAGCGGGAAGAGCUCAAAUUUGAAAUCUUCAAGGUCUUACCUUGACGAAUUGUAGUUUAAAGAAGUGUUUUCUGUUGAAGUUUCGGUAAAAGUUCUUUGGAAUAGGACAUCAUAGAGGGUGAGAAUCCCGUAUUUGACCGUUAUUUUCAGCUGUGUGAUACACUUUCAAAGAGUCGGAUUGUUUGGGAAUGCAGUCCAAAAUGGGUGGUAAAUUUCAUCUAAAGCUAAAUAUUGGCGAGAGACCGAUAGCGAACAAGUACCGUGAGGGAAAGAUGAAAAGAACUUUGAAAAGAGAGUUAAACAGUACGUGAAAUUGUCAAAAGGGAAGCGUUUGACACCAGUGUUGUUUUCCUCGAAAAUCAAUUAAAAAUGGCUUGAUUUUGUGUUGUAUUGAUCUUAAAAGCUUUCUGCACUUUUUUCAUGUCUUUUUUAAUGCACUUUUCGUUUAACAAGUCAACAUCAGUUUCUUUUGUUGUAAAAAGGUCAUUGGAAGGUGGCUUUCUUUUCGGAGAAAGUGUUUAUAGCCUUUGACUCCUGCAAUCGGAGAGACUGAGGUCUGCAGCGUAGAUCCUUCUUGGAUUAGAUUCAUUUGUGCUAAGUUAUAGCUUUUUAUAGACAACUUGUUGACUAUAUUUAGUCUUGUAGCUUACUCGCUUAUGCAAUUUUACCUACGCUUAGGAUGUUGAACGCGCACAGAGUCUC